GUGGGUAUAGCUCAGUGGCAGAGCACUUGCUUAGAGUGUGCAAGGUCCUGGGUUCAAUCCCCAGUACCUUCA
rnacentral:tRNA from 1 species